rnacentral:rRNA from 1 species
UACGUAGGUGGCGAGCGUUGUCCGGAUUUACUGGGCGUAAAGGAUGCGUUGGCGGAUAUUUAAGUGAGAUGUGAAAUACCCGAGCUUAACUUGGGUGCUGCAUUUCAAACUGGAUAUCUAGAGUGCGGGAGAGGAGAAUGGAAUUCCUAGUGUAGCGGUGAAAUGCGUAGAGAUUAGGAAGAACACCAGUGGCGAAGGCGAUUCUCUGGACCGUAACUGACGCUGAGGCAUGAAAGCGUGGGUAGCAAACAGG